GCGGUUGUUACCACAGUGAAAAGUUUUAUUUAUGGUGUUAGAAAUAUUCGAUCGGAAGGAAGAGAGGCGGUGUAUAGCACACAGCCAAUAAUUCAAAGUGCAGAUAAAGGCAACGAAACUAGGCCUGCAGCUUUGCUGUAUUUUUUUCCGCAACACCCGAACGAAGUGGGAACACUCAAGCCGAUCGUCGAAAUCCACCUUCGCCUGGAGUUCUUCGAGGGAAGGGAAACAGUGGUAACGCGACCGCCUCGCAAAGCGAGCGGAGGAGAUCGACGGAAAGUGCUAAAUAAUUGAAUUUUAAAUUAUGUAACUUCCUAUGUCCCGACCCGAACUUAGGCGUAAAAAGUAAUUGUGGCCCGUGGUGGCAGAAAAAAAAGAAAUAUCG